rnacentral:lncRNA from 1 species
AGCUUCAGGGAGAACUGGUUCUUGGACCUGUCUACUGAUAUGGUGACUCGACUCUUGAGGGACGGGUUGUAGUAGGUGCUCCCACUAUAAUAGAUACUCCCAAUCCACUCCAGCCCCUUCCCUGGGGGCUGGCGGAUCCAGCCCCAGUAGUAACUACUACUGCUGAUGGAGCCACCAGAGACAGUGCAGGUGAGGGACAGGGUCUCCGAAGGCUUCACCAGUCCUGGGCCCGACUCCUGCAGCUGCACCUGGGACAGGACCCCUGUGAACAGAGAGACCCACAGUGAGCCCUGGGAUCAGAGGCACCUCCCAUAUCCCCAUGUCUGGAUCCCUGAGAUACUCACAU